rnacentral:rRNA from 1 species
CCUGGCUCACGAUGAACGCUAGCUACAGGCUUAACACAUGCAAGUCGAGGGGCAUCAGGAAGAAAGCUUGCUUUCUUUGCUGGCGACCGGCGCACGGGUGAGUAACACGUAUCCAACCUGCCCUUUACUCGGGGAUAGCCUUUCGAAAGAAAGAUUAAUACCCGAUAGUAUAAUGAUUCCGCAUGGUUUCAUUAUUAAAGGAUUCCGGUAAAGGAUGGGGAUGCGUUCCAUUAGGUUGUUGGUGAGGUAACGGCUCACCAAGCCUUCGAUGGAUAGGGGUUCUGAGAGGAAGGUCCCCCACAUUGGAACUGAGACACGGUCCAAACUCCUACGGGAGGCAGCAGUGAGGAAUAUUGGUCAAUGGGCGCGAGCCUGAACCAGCCAAGUAGCGUGAAGGAUGACUGCCCUAUGGGUUGUAAACUUCUUUUAUAUUAGAAUAAAGUGCAGUAUGUAUACUGUUUUGUAUGUAUAAUAUGAAUAAGGAUCGGCUAACUCCGUGCCAGCAGCCGCGGUAAUACGGAGGAUCCGAGCGUUAUCCGGAUUUAUUGGGUUUAAAGGGAGCGUAGGUGGACUGGUAAGUCAGUUGUGAAAGUUUGCGGCUCAACCGUAAAAUUGCAGUUGAUACUGUCAGUCUUGAGUACAGUAGAGGUGGGCGGAAUUCGUGGUGUAGCGGUGAAAUGCUUAGAUAUCACGAAGAACUCCGAUUGCGAAGGCAGCUCACUGGACUGCAACUGACACUGAUGCUCGAAAGUGUGGGUAUCAAACAGGAUUAGAUACCCUGGUAGUCCACACAGUAAACGAUGAAUACUCGCUGUUUGCGAUAUACAGUAAGCGGCCAAGCGAAAGCAUUAAGUAUUCCACCUGGGGAGUACGCCGGCAACGGUGAAACUCAAAGGAAUUGACGGGGGCCCGCACAAGCGGAGGAACAUGUGGUUUAAUUCGAUGAUACGCGAGGAACCUUACCCGGGCUUAAAUUGCAGUGGAAUGAUGUGGAAACAUGUCAGUGAGCAAUCACCGCUGUGAAGGUGCUGCAUGGUUGUCGUCAGCUCGUGCCGUGAGGUGUCGGCUUAAGUGCCAUAACGAGCGCAACCCUUAUCUUUAGUUACUAACAGGUCAUGCUGAGGACUCUAGAGAGACUGCCGUCGUAAGAUGUGAGGAAGGUGGGGAUGACGUCAAAUCAGCACGGCCCUUACGUCCGGGGCUACACACGUGUUACAAUGGGGGGUACAGAAGGCAGCUACCUGGUGACAGGAUGCUAAUCCCAAAAGCCUCUCUCAGUUCGGAUCGAAGUCUGCAACCCGACUUCGUGAAGCUGGAUUCGCUAGUAAUCGCGCAUCAGCCACGGCGCGGUGAAUACGUUCCCGGGCCUUGUACACACCGCCC